CGCGGUUAUACUAAGUGAGUGAGUUAUAUUUCUAGGUAAAAAGACAGUUAGGUUUAUUUAGCUAUUUAGUCUAUUGAUCAUUUAUAAAAAAGUAAAAUUUGUAUAUAAAUAGUUAAUCUAAUAGUGGCUGUACAAUGCUGAAGCUGUGAUAGUCUUGAGGGAAACUGGGAUUAGAUACCCCAUUAUUCGUGACUGUAAAUAUAAUUAUAUUUACCAGAGUACUAUGAAGUUAAAAAUUUAAAACUCAAAGGGCUUGGCGGUGUUUUAGACCUAUCAGGGGAACCUGUCUCGUAAUCGACAAUCCACGUUGAACCUAACCUUAUUUUGUACUCAGUUUGUAUACCGUCGUCGUCAGGUAACUUUUAAGAGUAUAGAAGUUAGCAGAAAGAAUUUAGUAAAUUAGGACGUCAGAUCAAGGUGCAGCCUAUAAUAAGGAGAGGAUGGGUUACAAUUAUUAGAUUUAUAAUUACGAAAAUUUAGAUGAAAUUAUAUUUAGAAGGAGGACUUGAAAGUAAAUUUUAGUAUAUAAAUAUAUUGAAUGAGGCUCUG
rnacentral:rRNA from 1 species